rnacentral:rRNA from 1 species
GGGAAACCUGCCCAGAAGCGGGGGAUAACACCUGGAAACAGAUGCUAAUACCGCAUAACAACUUGGACCGCAUGGUCCGAGCUUGAAAGAUGGCUUCGGCUAUCACUUUUGGAUGGUCCCGCGGCGUAUUAGCUAGAUGGUGGGGUAACGGCUCACCAUGGCAAUGAUACGUAGCCGACCUGAGAGGGUAAUCGGCCACAUUGGGACUGAGACACGGCCCAAACUCCUACGGGAGGCAGCAG